ensembl:lncRNA
GCAGCCAUAGUACACAUACAUACAACCGAUUUUUCAUCUGCUCCUAAUAUUGUACUGAUGUCAUACCCUAGGCAGUGAAGCCACCCAAUAAACUGAGACUAUGUACUAGGGGUGGGCGAUAUGGCCAAAAUCUUCUAUCACGGUAUUUGUAAUUUUAUAUCACGGUUACGGUAUAUAUCACGGUUUAUUAUACGUAGGUUUGAGUUUGUGAAAAAGAGGACACUUCAGCGGUGGCGAAAUGUGUCCACAGACAUAGGCUAUACAGUAUGAUCAUUUAUUUAUUGACCCUUAAGAACACUAAGGUGCAGAAACAAUACUGCCUCAAUAGGCUAUUGGCCUAAGCAAUAGUGGCCAGUAUAUGCCUACUUUGUACUGAACGUUUCCAUUGAAUCUUUAAAUAGUAAGAUUAAAACAAAGUGCAUGUAGUGGCAUUUAGUCCAGUGCUUAUGUGGCUUUCAGUGGUUCAUUAAUGUACUUUCAGAAGAUAAAUCAAGUGUUAACUUUCUUUUCAAUGUGUGUUCAUAUGUUAACGCAAUAAUGAUGAGAAAAACAUUUUCUUAUAUGGCCACAUAUUAAAAUAAGAAAAUUAAGAAGUUGGCAAUUACACAUAGACGCCCCAUUGACCGCUUCAACCCGUUGCUGCGACGUGCGCACGUCGCCGCAAUAUUGGUGAGGUGAAGCCUGUAAACAAACGCAAGUAAACGAUGGAGCUGCGUUUUUUCUGCAUAAAAAGCACUUUAGCGUUUACAUUUCUCAACCGAUUUCACUGAGUCGUUUUUAUAUUCAAGGGUUUAUGAUCUAGGUGGAGUACCAAAACAAGUUUUGUCUCCAUGUUACUUAGAAUCUCGACGGUUAUAAUGUAUAUGUCUAUGAUAAUCGCUGCUAGACGCUCACUGUUCUUGUGCUCCCACAGCUCCUUCACUAUGAAAUACUGAAAAUAAAUCUAAACUAUCGAAAUAGUGCAUCUUUAACUACUAAUAUUUGACCAUCAUUGAGAAAAAUGGAACAGAAUCUGCAAAUAAAUGGCUACACUAGACACUUUUCAGUCCAUAUUUUUCAGUAGAUCUUUCAGUAGAAUCUUUCCCAACAGUCGAGGAUUACUCAACAAGUAGGCAUGACAGUCCUUGUAGGUCAUGUGCUUAAAAAUUGUACUAGGUAUCGUAUUAUACGGCUCUUCAGAAUGUUAAAAAAAGUUCAGUUGAUUUGAAUGGGCCACCCCAACGUUUGCAGGUCUGUCAUUUCUUUAUAUUCACUGCUGCGAAAAAGUAAUGACCAUCAUUGGCAACGGAUUUUGUGCUUUAAUUUACGUCUUUCAUAUCAUAUCAUUCCGCAAGUAGUCCGGUCAUUUAACGUAACUUGAAGUCAGCAAGUAAUGGGUUGCUACGCAACACUUGAAACUUGAAAGUUCUAUUUGCCUGAAGAACUAUUUUUUCUAAACGGAAAUCACAAAACGGCAUCAAAAUCGUUAAAGAGGUAUUUUGGAGGAAUGUCUUCUGUCGUUUUGGGGAGUAACUGUUGAUGGAACUGCAUAUUGAUGUUUUCCUGGCCUGAUUUGUUGUUGCAUGGUGGUUCUUGUGUGAGCAUAUAAAUGCUCAUAUAGGGGACUGAUGGAACUGCAAAAUAGCUAUUCUACUGUUGUUCUGUAUCAUUUGUAUCUUUAACAUAUAUUGAUGUUUCCUGCUCUGAUUGGCUGUUGCAUGGUGGUUAUUGUGUGAGCAUAUAAAUGCUCAUAUA